AGAGUUUGAUCAUGGCUCAGAUUGAACGCUGGCGGCAUGCCUUACACAUGCAAGUCGAACGGUAACGGGCCUUCGGGUGCCGACGAGUGGCGAACGGGUGAGUAAUGCAUCGGAACGUACCUUUCAGUGGGGGAUAACGUAGCGAAAGUUACGCUAAUACCGCAUAUUCUGUGAGCAGGAAAGCAGGGGAUCGCAAGACCUUGCGCUGAUUGAGCGGCCGAUGUCAGAUUAGCUAGUUGGUGAGGUAAAGGCUCACCAAGGCGACGAUCUGUAGCGGGUCUGAGAGGAUGAUCCGCCACACUGGAACUGAGACACGGUCCAGACUCCUACGGGAGGCAGCAGGUGGGGAAUUUUGGACAAUGGGGGUAACCCUGAUCCAGCCAUGCCGCGUGAGUGAAGAAGGCCUUCGGGUUGUAAAGCUCUUUCGGCCGGGAAGAAAUCGCAUGGGUUAAUACCCUGUGCGGAUGACGGUACCGGCAUAAGAAGCACCGGCUAACUACGUG
rnacentral:rRNA from 1 species